rnacentral:tRNA from 1 species
GCUGUUAUAGCACAGUCGGUAGUGCGCCGCAUUGGUAGUGCGGAGGUCUCCAGUUCGAUUCUGGAUAACAGCA